AUCUGGCUGGUUUAAACUAAGAUCAGCCAGCUGUUCAAUUUAAACUCAGUUUAAACUGGCAAGGAAAAACUGGCCGUAUGUGACUGCAAGUACCAAUUUUUUUCCAUUUGAAUGGCGCAAAACGUGUUAACAUUUGUGUAUCUCUCAGAUACUUUUCCAAAACAGUUUGAACAAGCAGAACUGCGACAACACCACAGUCCCAAUUACCAGCUGUCAUUUUUAUUCCAGCAGGUAACUGUUGCUAUCUCUUUCACACCACCAUCUUUCUUUCGUGACUAUUUUAUAAAUAUCUCAUACUGGUGCUAUGUAUCUCAGGAUUCCAGCAAAAAGAGUGUAUCCACAAGUGUGCAAACUGUUUUGUUGAUUGAAAAGUUUUACGGGUAACAAGCGGCGGAAAAUCUAGCCGGAGCGCAACGAAGAACGACUUCGAGCUGACGCAGAAUUGAGCAGAGGCAAGAAAAUCUCAGUUGUUUCGGGAAAUUGAAAGCGGUCGCUUGUGUUCAGUCGCAAAGUGUACGGUUUUUGUGCGAAAGAAAGGUUUUGAUACGACGACGAAGCCGAGUUUUAACUGGCACGUAGACGAAGACGACGACGGCGGUGGUAAACGGAGGGCAAGCGCCUGGCGUAUGUGAGAAGCGGUGUCAAAGAAGACUAAAAAUAUAAAUAACAAUAAAACGAAAGGAAGGUGAUGUAGAGGAGGAAAUAAGAAGAGUCGUAGUGGACGGACACAGCCUCUUUUAACGCACGCGUGUGUAUAUGUGUAUGACGGUCGCGGCGGUUUAUUUCUUUACGGAAAUUGUAAUUAUAUGAAAAUUGUCGUCAUAAGCUUGCUAUACGCACAGUUUGAAGAAAAAUACGAAGCCAUUGUGUGUGCGUCUGUCCUCAGGAUAUAUGUACAUACUUGUUGUUUUUGUGCUCGGCAGACCCCCAUACCUACUCCGUCAACAGCUUUGGCUAGCACCAGCUGGAGGUGAAUUUUUUGUGUAUAAUUGAAUGAGUGUUCUAAUUAAGGAUUUCGUGAGAGGAAAAAUUUCUCACAACAAAAGUUGAGUCAAAAAUCACAAUAAUAAUUUGUGUCAAAAGUGCAACAAAAAAA